UCACGUUCAUGUUUUUUAAACAAUUUUUAUUUCUCUUCCCCCGUUACAAUUUAGUGCCCUGACUCAGCCUGCAAGCAGGAUCUGCUGGCCUACCUGCAGAGAAUCGCCCUGUACUGUCAUCAGCUCAACAUCUGUAGCAAGGUGAAGGCGGAGGUGCAGAAUCUGGGCGGAGAGCUCAUUGUUUCUGGGUUGGACAGCGCCACCUCUCUGAUCCAGGCAGCCAAAAACCUCAUGAAUGCUGUGGUGCUGACUGUAAAGGCAUCCUAUGUAGCCUCCACCAAAUACCAGAAGGUUUACGGCACGGCCGCGGUUAACUCACCGGUGGUUUCCUGGCGCAUGAAGGCUCCCGAGAAGAAGCCUUUGGUCAAACGGGAGAAACCAGAGGAAUGCCAGACGCGCGUGCGACGAGGCUCCCAGAAGAAACACAUAUCCCCCGUCCAGGCCCUCAGUGAAUUCAAGGCCAUGGACUCCUUCUAAAAAAAAAAUAUAAAAUUAAAAAAAAAAAAAAAAAACACGAUGGUAUAAGUCGGUGAAAAAAAAAGUCCCUUUUCACAUUGUGUUAAUCUACUUCCGUUUGCUGUGUGUGCUUGGUGACACCGCAGGAGGACUGCAGUACAUAUUUAACUGCCUUUACUGUGGCUCGGCUAACACUGUGGUCUUCAUGGCUCACAGAACACCAACACACCCGAUAGUAUUUAUUGAUCUUAUUGUAGCUUAAUGUGAGAGCCAAAAUGUGACAAACUACUUCUGAAAACCGGGACUUAAUAUUUAUCAAAAGAGGAAAAGGGGCAAAUAACAAAAAAGAAAAAAUCCCAGUCGAUAUUCUAGCUAUAUCAUUAACGUGCUGCAGACUGGCUGCUUGUGAACACACUAAAACUGAAUGGAAACUGAAUGAGUAGAGGAAUCAUUCUAUGCUGAAUAAAUUGGUGGUUUUGACCCCUCUUGAUUUUUUUUUCUUCCAAUCUGAAUGUUAACCUGUAGUUUUAGGAAUAUCCUAUGUUAAAAAUCCUGAGAAGCAUCAGGAUCCGAAUAGUUUCCUUCCUCAUAACGAUUACUAUGACAAUAAUCCACAUGGUGUUUUCUUUUUUCUACCAAAGCACAUUUAUGGUCUAAUGUAUUCCCCCUUUAAAAUCUCUUUUAUUUAUAGAUUUCAUCACUAACUAUGAUGAGCUUGUUUGGAAGUUGUGUAGCGUAUCAUUUAGACAGAGAGGAUUGAUUAGUUGUGGUUUGCUCUGAGAAUAGAAUCCCUGCAUACAGUAACUUUAUAUUCACCCUUCUCUAAUAAAUUCCUUAACUUGA